rnacentral:rRNA from 1 species
UACGAAGGGGGCUAGCGUUGCUCGGAAUCACUGGGCGUAAAGCGCACGUAGGCGGCUUUCUAAGUCAGGGGUGAAAUCCUGGAGCUCAACUCCAGAACUGCCUUUGAUACUGGAGAGCUGAGUCCGGGAGAGGUGAGUGGAACUCCGAGUGUAGAGGUGAAAUUCGUAGAUAUUCGGAAGAACACCAGUGGCGAAGGCGGCUCACUGGCCCGGUACUGACGCUGAGGUGCGAAAGCGUGGGAGCAAACAGG